UCAUUUGGAUUUUUUUUACGCCUCUGCCACUGACCUUUUUUUUUAUUCUCUCUUCCUCGGUUCCUCCAGAAGCCUCCCAGACCGACUUUUUUGUUCUCUCUUUUCUUCCUCCUGCUUCCUAAACCGCCUCCUUCACUCUCUCAGACGACUGGCUCCUCAACUGCGGCUCUUCCUCCAACGCCACCUUCUUCAGCCGUUUCUUCAUCGGAGAUUUCAAUUUCAGGUCUGGUGUUGUCUCCACAGGCCGGCCUAUUUCAGUCACGCACAACAAAAUCCCACCUUCAAACUCACUCUUCUUACCACACAGCAAGAGUGUUCACAACUGCUGCAACCCUUCAAGCUAUAGUUUAAGCAUCAAGAAAAUCGGAACUCACUUGGUUUGAUGCGAAAAAGUGUGCAGCUGAUUGUUUUAACGUUUCUACUGUUGAAGUACGCUGAAGGUCGAGCUCAGGCGUUUGACGACCAUACCUCCAAUACUAAGUUUGAUUGUGGUGGUUCUUCUUCUUCCAAGGCUUUUCCGAACCCAAAGCAUUCUUGAUUAUGAUUUGUAUACUUACAAAUUCAGAACAAUAUUGGGCUGCGAUCCAAGACCCAGAGGGAUGACAUUAAAGAAAGAUCAGUUCUCGAUGAUCAGAGCGCAUGCGGAUAGAGGUAGUAAAGGCAAGAGUCUGGGCAACAAGGUUGCUGUCAUCAAGAGGUGCUCCAGCUGCGGCAAGAGCAUCAGCAACUGUCUUGAUUGGCUACAGAUAGUCGGUGAUGGAGAGGCUACCCUUUUGAAUGGUCUGAAUCCGUCGGUUCAUAGGAUCUGGUCAAGGCAGCAAAUUGGCUCCGGUCCUUCAGUGAUAUCCAUCGUGUCUGCACAUCCAGUAUGUCUUUUUAAAUCUUUUGUUGAAGUAGAUUAAGAUUUUUCGUGUUGAUGUUUGUGGAAUAGGUGUAAAGGUUUCAUCUUUGGAGCCCUUGGAGUUUUUCUGUGUGGUUUUGGAACAUUGGGUGGUUCGUUCUUGGAAAAUAAAUUGAAGAAUGCGAAAGGAAAUCUUGGUUUUGUGGGGAAGUUGAGAACUAUGAAUUGGUUUUGAAUUGAUUUGUUUAUGAAGUGAAAAUGACGGGUUUGUUGUUGAAAGUUCUGUUUUGUAUUCACAUGCAGUAGUUCAUACUUCAUGUUAAUGAAUAGUUGUAAAGGUUUGGUUUUUGGUGGUAACAGAGUGAAACCGAGACUUCUAUUUAGAAUGAAAUCAAAACACAAAAGAAGAUCAGAACAUUAACGAAAAAAAAUUGGUAAAAGAGAAAAAGGGAGAAAACGUUUCUACUGAUGUUGAAAGGCUUGAAGAGAAUUAAAGAAGUUACCGGCUAUUUGUGGUGAUGAACUUUUUUUGCCUUAGAAAUGGGGAUAGUAAGACUAUUACAUAUUCCAUUUUGUUGUUUCUCUGCUACGUAGGGAUAAAUAAUAAGGGGGCAUAGGAAAUUGAAAAUUAUGGUCUAGGCUAUUACAUAUUCCAUUUUGUUGUUUCUCUCUUACGUAGGGAUAAAUAAUAAUUAGUCAGGGAGACUAGCUCUUUUUAUCGAGGAGGUAUUGUUUUGAAGACAUUUAGGGGAUUUUUGAAGUCCUGUCAUUAAAUAAUUAGUUGUAUUGAGGUGUGGAUACACUGGUUUCUUGAUGGGAUCAAUAGUUCUCUUCCAUUAGAGCUAAUAAAACUUUUUUUCUUUCCAGAUUUAGAUGUUUGCAUAUGUUUUAUAUUUGAUAUGUUAACUGCCGAAGACAAUACAUGGAAAGAGAGUUGAAGAGAAUUGCAAUUGUAUUUUCUUCUCAAGUACAUGAGCAAUGUUUAAGAACCUCUCUUGACGGAUAUGUUCUCCUUUACUAAGGAUCUUGCCGUGGUAUGCUAGAAGAGGCUUUCCAUCUAGGGAGAAAAGGGUGUUUAUCUAACUUCUAUCAUUCAUUUCUUGCCCCAGUUAAAAAAAGUACGGUAGAAUUUGGAGAGAGGUGUGUAUGGAGUUUUCCUUUAUCAGUAAGAUAAGUCACGGUACUUUUGGGUUCAUUUGCUGAUGCUUAAGUUUAUUGUUAAAUAUUAACUAGCAGAAACUAAGAAAGGUGUAGUUCUGAUUUCAAAUAUGGGAACCUCAUCUUGGUUAUUUAGCAAAAGAGACGGCUGAUCCAACCUUUAAGAGUGCUGAGCUUCCAUGCAAUAUGCAAGAGCUUUCAAUGUUGUUUCUGCUUUUGAUAUUGGACAAGUGAAGGCUACCUUUCUUUUUAUCGUAGUCAUGUGGAUAUCUUUAAUAGUUUUCUUUGUACCUCUGUGUUAGAGUUCUACCAUUUAUUUGUUCAAUACAUAAGUUUUCUACAGAAGAAAAAAAUAUAGGAAAGGUAAAAUGUUUAGGAACAAAAGAUUGUGAGAAUGAUUUUUAAUUGGAAGAGUUCUCACCACUGCUUCAAGCUAUAACUUAAGCAUCAGGAAAAUUGGAAGGUCUUGGAAUUAGCAGUAGUCAGCCUUUUCUUAUUAGUUCCUUAUACUGUUGAUUUUUAAUUGUGAGAAUGAUUUAACAAAAGAUUUGGUAAUUUUGUUAACUGAAAAAGACUUUACAUAUGUUUUAUAUUUGAUUCACAGAUGACAAACUGAUAAAUGUACUACACUGAAUCAGUUUUUGUCAUCAGAAAACUUGGGAGUUUUUGGCUUAGCUUUCCAGGUUGGUGUAUCAACAUGGUGUCUAUGCUCAACCUUUGGGGAUUAUAUUACAAUUAUCACCAGUUUUAUCCAGCAGUCAAGUUUAGUUGAAUUUUCUACUGUAUCCAUGUUCAAGCCUUUGGGGAUUGUAGUUACAGUUGCCAAUAGUUUUGCAUUGAAACCUACUAUUGCUCUUUUGACUCAGAAAAUCCAGAAAUAAAGCACGGGCUAUCUAGCUUCAUUUA